UUUUCGGAUGGAAGCCAAAUUGACUGAGUGGCGGACGGGUGAGUAACGCGUGGGUAACCUGCCUCAUACAGGGGGAUAACAGUUAGAAAUGACUGCUAAUACCGCAUAAGCGCACGGAAGCGCAUGCUUCUGUGUGAAAAACUCCGGUGGUAUGAGAUGGACCUGCGUCUGAUUAGCUGGUUGGUGAGGUAACGGCCCACCAAGGCGACGAUCAGUAGCCGACCUGAGAGGGUGACCGGCCACAUUGGGACUGAGACACGGCCCAAACUCC
rnacentral:rRNA from 1 species